rnacentral:rRNA from 1 species
GAAACCUGCCUUUCAGUGGGGGGACAACAGUUGGAAACGACUGCUAAUACCGCAUAAUGUUAUUUGAGGGCAUCCUCGAAUAACCAAAGCUUUAUGUGCUGAAAGAUGGUCUCGCGUCUGAUUAGCUAGAUGGCGGGUAACGGCCCACCAUGGCGACGAUCAGUAGCCGGUCUGAGAGGAUGAACGGCCACAUUGGGACUGAGAUACGGCCCAGACUCCUACGGGAGGCAGCAGUGGGGAAUAUUGGGCAAUGGGCGCAAGCCUGACCCAACCAACGCCGCGUGAAGGAAGAAGGCCUUCGGGUUGUAAACUUCUUUUACCAGGGACGAAUAAUGACGGUACCUGGAGAAAAAGCAACGGCUAACUACGUG